UACGAAGGGGGCUAGCGUUGCUCGGAAUCACUGGGCGUAAAGGGUGCGUAGGCGGGCUGGUAAGUCUGUGGUGAAAUCUCCGGGCUUAACCCGGAAACUGCCGUUGAUACUAUCUGUCUUGAAUAUCGUGGAGGUAAGCGGAAUAUGUCAUGUAGCGGUGAAAUGCUUAGAUAUGACAUAGAACACCCAUUGCGAAGGCAGCUUACUACACGAUCAUUGACGCUGAGGCACGAAAGCGUGGGGAGCAAACAGG
rnacentral:rRNA from 1 species